GACGGAGGAUGCAAGUGUUAUCCGGAAUCACUGGGCGUAAAGCGUCUGUAGGUGGUUUAAAAAGUCUAUUGUUAAAAAUUGAAGCUUAACUUCAAAGAUGCAAUGGAAACUUUUAAACUUGAGUAUGGUAGGGGUAGAGGGAAUUUCCAGUGGAGCGGUGGAAAUGCGUAGAUAUUGGAAAGACCACCAAUGGCGAAGGCACUCUACUGGGCCAUACUGACACUGAGAGAGAAAGCUAGGGGAGC
rnacentral:rRNA from 1 species